AGGCCAGUAGCUCAACUGGUAGAGCACCGGUCUCCAAAACCGGGGGUUGGGGGUUCGAGUCCCUCCUGGCCUGCCA
rnacentral:tRNA from 7 species